CUGUGCCAAACCUGCUUCCUGACAGAGAGACACACAAAAAACACAAGAGCUCCCACCCAGUGCUGGAGCACUGCACUCAGCCAUCCUGGAAAGAAUCCCUAGCCUCAUUAGCAUACAGCGCCCGCCAAGCCUUAUUACCACGGCGAUACACACACAGGGAGGCAGAGAGGAGGUGCCUAAUCAGGGCGGAGUCACGAGGGGAGCCGCAGACCAGCUUCACCACCCCUGACCCUUCACCUCAGUCUGCCGCUGAGGACAGAGCCCCUCCCACUAAUCCUCC